GGUAGAAAAGGAAGAUGUAGCAACCUGCUCAGACUCCGCCCAUGUUUCAGUCAGGGAAUCGUUUAACCCAAAGAACAAGAGAUUGCUGCGACGUGAGCGAUCUUCAAGGUUAACUAGUCCGUUUUCAAUGGCAGUGACUUUGUCCCUAAGGGACUGAAGGCAUAGUUCAACGACCUUCUGGCUAUCCUGCAUCUUACGCAAUUCUCGAAGAAGAGUAUCUUGACCCUGCUGCAAAGAUGCCAAAGCUGCUGGGACGUCAUCCAGAGACCUAGUUGUAGCAUUCGCCGGAAGCUCCCAUAUACGCAGUGGGCCAGGGAAAAUGACGGGCGCCCAAACCACGUGAUCUCCAGGAGCCACUCACAGCGGUCAAGAUCAGCAGCGCGAGAAAAAAAGCGUGGGUCAAGUCACUGAUCUCUAUAGUAAUAGGCUGGAUAGCGGAUUGAGGGUGCAACCAUACGGUCACCGGCCGCCAUCUUGCGAAGCUCAAAACAUUGCCGUCCGGGACUCAGCUGCAUAUUCUGCAUGCGCCUUUGCGUAGCAUUUUUGUGGUGUCAUGCCCGCCUGCUGUGGUUAUGGGUGUACUGUCGGUACUGGCAAGGCACCGGGCACGACAUUUGACAAGUAAGUGACUUAGUUUUACAAAUAAAUGUGAUUUAUUAGUCCACGAGCGGGGCGACAAAACGUUGCUGUUGACCCAUGUGCGCGGCACUUUGUGACUCGUAUCUCAAGAUCUAAACGUUAAACUUUAAGCAGUACGUUAUCUAGAUAGUGUCAUUGUGAUGGUCCAGACUUCCUGCAGUUCACGGAUAUGGUCUCGGCAGUCGGCACGCAGCAGGCGUUGAAGUGCGCUUGUCAGGUGUGGUAUUUACGGCUCAGUUUGUUGGUCACGGUAUCGACGAUCGCUUGCUUGGAUCAGCCUUGUCACCCCUGCCGUAAUUGAUGGCAUAAAUUGUUCAAUGCAGGUUUCCUCACAGCCGCCCAGAAGAUUUAAAAAAGUGUGUGGUGAAUGUCAGGCGAAAGGACUGGACGCCGUCGAGGACAUCACUGGUCUUCAGCAAACAUUUUAAAAACAGGUGCUUCGACAGAACGGGCAAAACCGUUCGACUGAGGCCUGACGCUGUGCCCAACAAGUUCGACUUCCCAGAACACCUCCAGAAAGUAAUAAUGCAUGCGUCAUAUGUAGAGGCCGGAUUUAGAUCUGGUUGAACACACAUUCAUGAAAAAUUCAUUAAUCUUGCUCAAAAUAUGCACCUCGAGAAAUUCACUUGCUAGAAAUAUGAUUGCUAAUAUUCACUCUAGAAAAACAUGCAACAAAUUCACUGGGGCAAAAGUAUCUUAUUUUAUGCAGUGUACAUAAAGCAUGCAGAGUUCAAAGCAUAGAUCGAGAAGUGACCCAUCAAAAGGAACUCGUUACGAAGUUGUCGUGUGAAAAAUGUAACUAAGUUAAUAACGA